CUGGCACGUGAACAAAUGGAAGAAAGUGAGCGACUGCUGCGAUGCCAUUUACAGGGCCUUAGAGAGAGAAACCUGGAGUGUGAAGACCUCAAACUUGCACUGGAGCAGCUGCGGCUUGAGAAAGAGUCUCGACAGGAAGAGCUGGACACCACACGGGACAAAGCUCGCAGGAUGUUGCUGGAACAGGGAGAGCAGAUGGCUCAGGCGUGUAAUGAUGUCAUGCUCCUAACCACAGAGUUUGCAAUCUCUCAAACAUCCUGAAGGAAUCCCUAAUCUCCAAGGAGUCAAAGUCCUCUGAAAACACUCUGCAAUCUCAUCGACAUCCCUCCAGCUCUUUUGUGGAUUCUAUUAUGGUGGCCAUGAUGAAGACUCAAGAACCUGAAACGGAGACUCCAGAUGAUUUAGAGGAGAGGGAAGUGCUACAAGACUGUAUUGGCAGUGAAACCAGUGCUUUUACCCGAAUACCGCAAACUACACACACUGAAGUGAAAGAGAUGAGACGGAGCCAUAUGUUGGCUGUUGUCUGAUUUGGGUGAGGCUAUCUCAGAUCUUCAGUUCAACUUGGA